UGGCAGAGGCGGCCUAUGCAACGUUGCUGGGGUAGCGGAUCCGCCUAUUCAUUGAUCUGAUAAGGGUGUCUUUCAUAUGGGGGUGAAUUUCUUUACAAGACUGGAUAACACCCGCAGCAAAAGCAGACGAGCAUUGCUCCAGAUGAAAUGGACUGUAGGUCCGUUGAAUUCAUGGACCUUUACGAGCAAGACUAUUGUAAGCGUAAUCCCAAAUGAAAAUAAUGGAUUAGAAUCUGCUCGUCGUGCGGUUGAAUUUUUACGAAUACUGAUCCAUACAGAUAACUGCAGCAGAUCUGAUGUAAAUACCAAAUCCUAUCUGUAUAUAUAAUAUAUAUAUAUAUAUAUAUGUAUAUAUCGUAUAUGCCUAAGAGCACACGUGGACACGUGGACAAUAAUAUUGGAUUGUACUGUGCUAAAAUAAUAUAUAGAUAUAAAAUCGUAAAAUAAAUGUUAUCUCUGGAUUUGGAGAAAAUCCAAUAAGAGUAUAAAAAGUUUUAAGCAUAAAAGUGGAUGAUACUAUCUUUUAUGCAGAUGGAGGACGAACAUUAAUAAUUACAUCUUUAUGAUACAUAUGAAGAAAAUUGAAAGAGUAUGGUAUUGGUUCAGAGGAAAGGUUUAAUCGAUUGGGAAAUUCGAUAUAACGUUUUACAAUUUGUAUAUAAAUAUCUCAUUCGAUUCUGCAGUCUCGAGAGCGUGUUAAUUCGCGUAAUCGGGUUUUCUACAUCAGAUAUAGGAAAAAGGAUCCGUAAGUGUUUCUGGAGGGUGUAUCCCGCCCUAUUUCUACAGUGGCACCCCAUGGAUCUACGAUUCUCCAUGGUGCAUCCCUGACCCGGUAUAUUCCGUGUCUAACACCUGGUCCGAGCGACCCCCUGGAAAACGCCCCUAGAACAUCCUGGUACCUACUAGAAGGAUGGGACAGCUUUAAGUGUCUAUUAAUUUAUACCCAGCAGGAGUGUGAAAUCGAUUUACUGAUGUUCAUCAUGUAUUCCCUUGAUGGUCCAGGUAUACGAGAUCUAUAUAAUACCGGGUGUCAUUCAAUGAAACAGACCAAUCCCCAUAUUUAUGGAUGAAACAACCCCAGAGUACAAGUGAUAAGCAGUAAAUUAGUCUCGUGCUUUUCCCGACACGAGAAACACUCUGUUGUUUCUCAACAUUCAUCAUUAGAACAAUGACGUGCCGCAAUAACAAAUCGAUUUGCAGGGGUGGCCCUGCAAGAAUACACGAGGGUGCAUUGGAGCGUAGAGUGUUUUGGGGUCGUGCCCCAUCAAGCCCUUAGGGGGUUGUACCGUGUAACAGGGUAUUCCGGAAUACACGUAGGGGCGACACCGCAGGGCACAUCAACCGCAUACCGGAAAUCCUAGCACGAUACCGGAUAUGCGAGUGUAUAUUAGACAGGUGGCGAAGAAUAUUUAUAGGUAAAAACUCAUUUUUCUGUUUGGCCCAUGCAAAAUUUUCUUUACGAUCACUUAAUUAGCGUACGAGCUAAUCAACCUGAUUGAUUAUCAAAAUUAUUCGUCAAGGGGACGAUCGAGUGUCUGUUACGGGCUGAAAAGGUUUGCAGUGCCAUUGCUAGCCCUCUAAUAAAUUAUGGCUGGUGAUAAGAACAGGAUAGAUAAACGUUUAGAUAACUUUAUCAUGAAUUUCGAAUAGAUAUGAUCUUCUUGGACCCACUAUGUACGGCAUUCUAAUUCUAUUCAUGGCUCAUUAGAUGAAUAUUGAGGCUGUAUACAGAUAGGGGUACAAUGCGAAUUUUCCACCCUGGAAAAAUCAUACUCUAUUAUUAUGCGUUAUUAUAGAGAGGAUAUUAUGACGUGUUUAUUUAUGGUUUUUUCUAUGGGGUUUGUCAUAUGUGCCAGAUGGGUGAUUCGAUAGCCGUAUACAUUAAAUAGUUAUUUUGCUUGGUCACUUCCGUUUCGUGCAGUUCGGUUUAACCCCUGGACUGCACCCUGAACCCUGUGGAUAUUUAA